UAGGGAAUCUUCGGCAAUGGACGAAAGUCUGACCGAGCAACGCCGCGUGAGUGAAGAAGGUUUUCGGAUCGUAAAACUCUGUUGUUAGAGAAGAACAAGGACGUUAGUAACUGAACGUCCCCUGACGGUAUCUAACCAGAAAGCCACGGCUAACUACGUGCCAGCAGCCGCGGUAAUACGUAGGUGGCAAGCGUUGUCCGGAUUUAUUGGGCGUAACGCGAGCGCAGGCGGUUUCUUAAGUCUGAUGUGAAAGCCCCCGGCUCAACCGGGGAGGGUCACUGGAAAAUGGGAGACUUGAGUGCAGAAGAGGAGAGUGGAAUUCCAGGUGUCGCGGGGAAAUGCGUAGAUAUAUGGAGGAACACCAGUUGCGAAGGCGGCUCUCUGGACUGUAACCGACGCUGAGGCUCGAAAGCGUGGGGAGCAAAGAGG
rnacentral:rRNA from 1 species